GAUGAACGCUGGCGGCGUGCCUAAUACAUGCAAGUCGAGCGAACGGACGAGAGGCUUGCUUCUCUGAUGUUAGCGGCGGACGGGUGAGUAACACGUGGAUAACCUACCUAUAAGACUGGGAUAACUUCGGGAAACCGGAGCUAAUACCGGAUAAUAUUUUGAACCGCAUGGUUCAAAAGUGGAAGACGGUCUUGCUGUCACUUAUAGAUGGAUCCGCGCUGCAUUAGCUAGUUGGUAAGGUAACGGCUUACCAAGGCAACGAUGCAUAGCCGACCUGAGAGGGUGAUCGGCCACACUGGAACUGAGACACGGUCCAGACUCCUACGGGAGGCAGCAGUAGGGAAUCUUCCGCAAUGGGCGAAAGCCUGACGGAGCAACGCCGCGUGAGUGAUGAAGGUCUUCGGAUCGUAAAACUCUGUUAUUAGGGAAGAACAUAUGUGUAAGUAACUGUGCACAUCUUGACGGUACCUAAUCAGAAAGCCACGGCUAACUACGUG
rnacentral:rRNA from 1 species